UCUAAUAUGGCAGAUUAGUGCCAUGGAUUUAAGCUCCAUAUAUAAAGUACAUACUUUUAUUAGAA
rnacentral:tRNA from 1 species